rnacentral:rRNA from 1 species
GAUGAACGCUGGCGGCGUGCUUAACACAUGCAAGUCGAACGGUGAAGCAGGAGCUUGCUCCUCUGAUUUAGCGGCGGACGGGUGAGUAACACGUGGGUAACCUGCCUGUAAGACGGGGAUAACCCCGGGAAACCGGAGCUAAUACCGGAUGAUAACGAGAAGCGCCUGCUUCUUUUUUGAAAGUCGGUUUCGGCUGACGCUUACAGAUGGGCCGGCGGCGCAUUAGCUAGUUGGUGAGGUAACGGCUCACCAAGGCAACGAUGCGUAGCCGACCUGAGAGGGUGAUCGGCCACACUGGGACUGAGACACGGCCCAGACUCCUACGGGAGGCAGCAGUAGGGAAUCUUCGGCAAUGGACGAAAGUCUGACCGAGCAACGCCGCGUGAGCGAUGAAGGCCUUCGGGUCGUAAAGCUCUGUUGUCAGAGAAGAACAAGUACCGGAGUAACUGCCGAUACCUUGACGGUACCUGACCAGAAAGCCACGGCUAACUACGUGCCAGCAGCCGCCGUAA